CGCACGUGGGCGCGGGCGGCCGGUAGGGGGCGCCCUCUCCUGCCCCGGCCUAAGCCGUGAGGGGCCCGCGGGGCCGCUCCGGGACCCGCCGCCGGUUCGGGACCCGCGGUGCCAGGGCUUGGAAGACCAGGAAAAAAAUUUAGGUUGGCGAUAUCAUAGAAUGGGUUAGGCUGGAAGUCACCACAGAGGGACAUCUGGUCAAAUGACGACAGUAUAUGGACACACACAGAUUUUGGGAAAUGAUCCCACAUACUCACUCAUUGCAUGGAUGAAAAUAAGAAACAAGUGCAUAAAGCUUAAGAAAUAUACAAAUUCAUUUUUACUACCAAUUCCCAUUUCCACUGAGGUCCUGCAGCCACUGGAGUUCCUUCCCACCUGGCUGGGUCACAUCCUGCGUGUCCUCAGCUGUCCAGGGACCGGGAGAACUCAGCCUGGCCAGGGGCUGUUGAAAGCAGUAGGUGAUUUCCACGAGCAGAAAGGUUUCCGCUGCCUUUGGUGGGCUUUGGAUGGGAUCCUGUGCUCCUGGCAUGGUUGAGUCAUGGAAAGCAAUCAAGGUCCAACCUGUUAGCAGCUUUAAAUUGUGGUGGCCCAGCAGAGCAGUGUCCUAGAGUUUAAACUUCUGCAAAAAUCUGCAACUCUUUUCCUGAAAUUGUAGAAGAAUUCAAAGGAAGAGCCAUAAAAGAGUGUGAAUGACUCUGGCAGAUCUCUCUGCAGCAUUUCCACGAGAAUUGUCCCUGUACUGACAGCAGGAAUGGCUCUGAGUUGCAAACAAGGGGAAUUAGGUUUGGAUGCUCCUCCCAGGGAGGGCAGGCACUGGGCAUUGAACAGGCAGCAAGAGCCACAUUUUCUUAGCAAGUUACUCCUGUACAAGGAGAGAGGCUGUUUGAGAGUCAGAGCCUUGGAGCUGCCUCCAGCUUUUCACCUGCUUUUCCCAGGCAUCAAGGGACUCCAUGGCACACCAUGGGCUGGUGUAGCACCUCAGAAAGCCCUGCCCUGCACAGGGCCUCUGCAGCACCUCAUGGACACAAGAGCAUGUCCCACCACCUCCUGCUGUGACCUCAGCAAAGUCCCUCCUACCUCCAGUGGGGUGGCACUUAGAGGAUGUUACCCAUGGUCAGCAAUAAGAGCAAAACUGAGGACCUUCAAGCAGCUCCCAGCAGGCAAAAUCAGAGUAAGCCAAGAGCCCUGUGGCUCAAACUCUUUAUUAACAUGAGAUCAGCAGGACAUAAAGAGCCAGAGGGGGAGAUUUGUAAGCCAAGAAGGAGGUGCAUGUCUUGGAAGAGCUGAUGCCAAGGGGAUGCACAAGGCACUUCAUCCAUCUGCAUGGACGGCUACUGGAGCCUGGACUCGGUGAUCCAAUCCAACUGCACAGACCUAAAGUGGCUCCUCUUCACCAUGAAAGAAGCUUAGAAGCUGCCGACUUAAAACACUCUAAAUAAUGUUUUCCUAUUUCUUUAACACCUCUCCCUUGGGCAUUCUCUCCUCCCUUCACAGCAUCUUGGCCAAUUACACUUGCAAAACAAACAGAAAACUCAAUAUCCCCAGGAGCAGGGAUUGCAGGCUCAGGGGCCCCCUCA
rnacentral:lncRNA from 1 species